AACGCACCUUGCGCUCCAUGGCAUUCCGUGGAGCAUGCCUGUUUGAGUGCCGCGAAAUCUCCCACCCCUAGCGGUUGCCGCAAGGCGCCGCCGGGCGGCGGGGUUGGUUGGGUGCCGCUGCCUGGGCUUUGGCCCAGGCUCGCCCGAACUGCAUGAGCGCUUAGCACUCGCACCGUCUCGAGGGUAGGCGGCUGAGCUGGCAUCUGCGCAUGUCAUGAUAUGUCAUUUGCUGUGUGGCAGACCAGCUACCCGAGAGUGUGUGUGAGUUACUACACGCCCUUUCAUUUCUGGUGUCAAAUCAGGUAGGAUCGACCGCUGAACUUAA
rnacentral:misc_RNA from 1 species